UGGGGAAUUUUGGACAAUGGGCGCAAGCCUGAUCCAGCCAUGCCGCGUGCGGGAAGAAGGCCUCGGUGUAACGCUUUUGCAGGGAANAAAUCUUCUGAGUUAAUACCUCGGGAGGAUGACGGUACCUGAAGAAUAAGCACCGGCUAACUACGUGCCAGCAGCCGCGGUAAUACGUAGGGUGCAAGCGUUAAUCGGAAUUACUGGGCGUAAAGCGUGCGCAGGCGGUUUUGUAAGACAGAGGUGAAAUCCCGGGUCUCAACCUGGGAACUGCCUUUGUGACUGCAAGGCUUGAGUGCGGCAGAGGGGGGAUGGAAUUCCGCGUGUAGCAGUGGAAAUGCGUAGAUAUGCGGAGGAACACCGAUGGCGAAGGCAAUCCCCUGGGCCUGCACUGACGCUC
rnacentral:rRNA from 1 species